GGGCCUGUAGCUUAGUUGGUAGAGCGCCACAUUUGCAAUGUGGAGAUCGCCGGUUCAAAUCCGGCCGGGUCCACCA
rnacentral:tRNA from 1 species